rnacentral:lncRNA from 1 species
AACGUGAUUUAGAGGAACACUGUGAUGACGGGACCAGGUCUACACCCCAGCCAAACUUUGCUCACUUGGACAGUAGCCAGAGUGUUCCCUUCAUGUCCGACACCUCGUCCCAGAGGAGACACACUACCACUACCUUAAGAGUGGGAUCACAGAGCCUUCCACACAGCUGUGGGCAGAUGACAGCUCAUGUAUCUGAGUGGGCUGUCAUCAACCUCUUCCCAUGCUUGUUGCUGCCUGUCACUUGGUAACUCUCCCUUGGAGAACUGCACAUUGUGUGGCGCGACCUUAUGUACAGCUCCUGUCCUGCUGCAGAUCUCGCUAUGGUUGUCU